UAGGGAAUCUUCCGCAAUGGACGAAAGUCUGACGGAGCAACGCCGCGUGAACGAAGAAGGUUUUCGGAUCGUAAAGUUCUGUUGUUAGGGAAGAACAAGUACCGUUUGAAUAAGGCGGUACCUUGACGGUACCUAUCGAGGAAGCCCCGGCUAACUACGUGCCAGCAGCCGCGGUAAUACGUAGGGGGCAAGCGUUGUCCGGAAUUAUUGGGCGUAAAGCGCGCGUAGGCGGUUUCUUAAGUCUGAUGUGAAAUCUUGCGGCUCAACCGCAAGCGGUCAUUGGAAACUGGGGAACUUGAGUGCAGAAGAGGAGAGUGGAAUUCCACGUGUAGCGGUGAAAUGCGUAGAGAUGUGGAGGAACACCAGUGGCGAAGGCGACUCUCUGGUCUGUAACUGACGC
rnacentral:rRNA from 1 species